GAUGAACGCUGGCGGCGUGCCUAAUACAUGCAAGUCGAGCGAACAGACGAGGAGCUUGCUCGCCUGACGAUAGCGGGGGACGGGUGAGUGACACGUGGAUAACCUACCUAUAAGACUGGGAUAACUUCGGGAAACCGGGGCUCAUACCGGAAAAUAUAUUGAACCUCAUGGUUCAAUGGUGAAAGACGGUAUUGCUGAAACUUAUAGCUGGAUCGGGGCCGCAUUAGCUAGUUGGUAGGGUGACGGCUUACCAAGGCAACGAUCCGUAGCCGACCUGAGAGGGUGAUCGGCAACACUGGAACUGAGACACGGCCCAGACUCCUACGGGAGGCAGCGGUAGGGAAUCUUCCGCAAUGGGCGAAGGCCUGACGGAGCAACGCCGCGUGAGUGAGGAAGGUCUUCGGAUCUUAAACCUCUUUUAUUGGGGAAGAACAAAUGUGUAAGUAACUAUGCACGUCUUGACGGUACCUAAUCAGAAAGCCACGGCUAACUACGUG
rnacentral:rRNA from 1 species